AGGACGAACGCUGGCGGCGUGCUUAACACAUGCAAGUCGAACGGAAAGGCCCUUCGGGGUACUCGAGUGGCGAACGGGUGAGUAACACGUGGGUGAUCUGCCCUGCACUUCGGGAUAAGCCUGGGAAACUGGGUCUAAUACCGGAUAUGACUACGAAUCGCAUGGUUUGUGGUGGAAAGCUUUUGCGGUGUGGGAUGGGCCCGCGGCCUAUCAGCUUGUUGGUGGGGUGAUGGCCUACCAAGGCGACGACGGGUAGCCGGCCUGAGAGGGUGUCCGGCCACACUGGGACUGAGAUACGGCCCAGACUCCUACGGGAGGCAGCAGUGGGGAAUAUUGCACAAUGGGCGCAAGCCUGAUGCAGCGACGCCGCGUGAGGGAUGACGGCCUUCGGGUUGUAAACCUCUUUCAAGUGGGACGAAGCGCAAGUGACGGUACCUAUAGAAGAAGGACCGGCCAACUACGUGCCAGCAGCCGC
rnacentral:rRNA from 1 species